UACGUAGGGGGCUAGCGUUGUCCGGAUUUAUUGGGCGUAAAGAGCGUGUAGGCGGCCAAGUAGGUCCGGUGUGAAAACUCGAGGCUUAACCUCGAGAUGUCAUCGGAAACCAUUUGGCUAGAGUCCGGAAGAGGAAAGUGGAAUUCCUGGUGUAGCGGUGAAGUGCGCAGAUAUCAGGAAGAACACCCGUGGCGAAAGCGGCUCUCUGGAACGGUACUGACGCUGAGACGCGAAAGCGUGGGGAGCGAACAGG
rnacentral:rRNA from 1 species